GAUGAACGCUGGCGGCGUGCCUAAUACAUGCAAGUCGAGCGAACGGACGAGAAGCUUGCUUUUCUGAUGUUAGCGGCGGACGGGUGAGUAACACGUGGAUAACCUACCUAUAAGACUGGGAUAACUUCGGGAAACCGGAGCUAAUAUCGGAUAAUAUUUUGAACCGCAUGGUUCAAAAGUGAAAGACGGUCUUGCUGUCACUUAUAGAUGGAUCCGCGCUGCAUUAGCUAGUUGGUAAGGUAACGGCUUACCAAGGCAACGAUGCAUAGCCGACCUGAGAGGGUGAUCGGCCACACUGGAACUGGGGAACGGUCCAGACUCCUAAGGGAGGCAGCAGUAGGGAAUCUUCCGCAAUGGGCGAAAGCCUGACGGAGCAACGCCGCGUGAGUGAUGAAGGUCUUCGGAUCGUAAAACUCUGUUAUUAGGGAAGAACAUAUGUGGAAGGAACUGUGCACAUCUUGACGGUACCUAAUCAGAAAGCCACGGCUAACUACGUG
rnacentral:rRNA from 1 species